UGAAAAUCGUGAUUUUGGAGCAUGUAUCUACUGAAAGGCAACUGGCUGAUCUAUUCACCAAACCUCUAGACUACAACACGUUCCUAGGUCUUCGAAAGGCCUUGGGAAUUGUGAAUCUCUGAAUAAGUCAUGUCAGAAGAGGAGAGCAUGGCUGUUGUAUAUAUGUGUUACUGCUUGUCAAUAGGCCACCACAAUCACAAAACUCUGAGUCAACAAGUUCGAUUGUGCAGCUUAUUUCACCUGCCUCCUUAACAGUAAAGUCAUUUGAUUCACUGGUGAAAGACACUCAUCUUGGAUCAAGAUGCUGCAACAUUUUCGAUCUGAGCAUUGAUCACUGUCUGGAUUGAAUGAGGAAACACAGCAGAGACUGCGUGGAGUUUGGGUAAGAAGAGUGUCCUGGAUUACUCAACAGAAAAGAAAAACAAAAGGCCCUGAAUGAUGGACACUCGUAAUGGAGCUGGAAGACACAACUUUCAGACUCUAAUUUCGAUCACUGUCUGGAUGGGGCAGGAUUGAUGUCAACUCUGAUUGGUAAAAAAAAAAAAAAAAAAAAAUUGUUUUCUGUGACAGCUACUCGGCUGAGAAACAGCUACAGAUCAAGGUUACAAUAACUGUCGAGUUGAAGAGACAGACACACAAGAUGUCUACACUGUGUUUCCAGACCAUACAAAUGACUGUGCUGCAGAAGUUCAGGUGUGAGUGAGUUGCAUGAUAGGAUCAUGUCUGUGACAGCUACUCGGCUGAGAAACAGCUACAGAUGUGGGUUGGUCUCACUGAUUCUUUAUCAAAAACUUCUUGGUGGCUGAGUACAAGUGGGAAGCAAUCUCCGUCUCUCUCCUCUGGACGCUAAAAGACAUUCUUGAGUAUGUCUUCUGGCAAGGUGCUUUUGUUGCUGUUCCUUUUUGUGUGCUGCAUCACUUGCAAGGACAUGAUUAUCAAUCUCACAAUUUCUCUCUCUCACAAACUGAGGUGCUGUCGAUAUUUUGUUUAAACAAAUAUGGCUGUGUCUAUUGCACGUUUUAAACAUUUUUGGUCUAAUGUCUUG
rnacentral:lncRNA from 1 species